GGAUUAGUGGCGAACGGGUGAGUAAUACGUGAGUAACCUGCCCUUGACUCUGGGAUAAGCCUGGGAAACUGGGUCUAAUACUGGAUACUACCUCUUACCGCAUGGUGGGUGGUGGAAAGGGUUUUACUGGUUUUGGAUGGGCUCACGGCCUAGAGCCUUGUUGGUGGGGUAAUGGCUCACCAAGGCGACGACGGGUAGCCGGCCUGAGAGGGUGACCGGCCACACUGGGACUGAGACAAGCACGGCCCAGACUCCUACGGGAGGCAGCAGUGGGGAAUAUUGCACAAUGGGCGGAAGCCUGAUGCAGCGACGCCGCGUGAGGGAUGACGGCCUUCGGGUUGUAAACCUCUUUCAGUAGGGAAGAAGCGAGAUCAGUGACGGUACCUGCAGAAGAAGCGCCGGCUAACGUGCCAGCAGCCGCGGUAAUACGUAGGGCGCAAGCGUUGUCCUACGGGAAUUAUUGGGCGUAAAGAGCUCGUAGGCGGUUUGUCGCGUCUGCUGUGAAAGCCCGGGGCUCAACCCCGGGUCUGCAGUGGGUACGGGCAGACUAGAGUGCAGUAGGGGAGACUGGAAUUCCUGGUGUAGCGGUGAAAUGCGCAGAUAUCAGGAGGAACACCGAUGGCGAAGGCAGGUCUCUGGGCUGUUACUGACGCUGAGGAGCGAAAUGGGGAGCGAACAGGAUUAGAUACUACCCUGGUAGUCCAUGCCGUAAACGUUGGGCACUAGGUGUGGGGGACAUUCCAC
rnacentral:rRNA from 1 species